rnacentral:ncRNA from 1 species
ACUAUAUAAAGAUAUAUGACCACCAGAUAGGUUGGUAUCUCCCUUUAUAGUAUUAUUAAAUCAAAGCUUGUUGAUAGUUUGUUGUGUAACUUCAUUUAGAUGAAUUGAAACAAAUUUAAGACAAGUGGAUAUAGGAUAAUCGUCCGUCCUUUACAUUGGUAUAAAAGUGAUCUGAAAAGUAUUCAUAACUUUUUAGUGACGGUCAU